GGCCCAAGCAGGUGUCUUCCCAGACCACUGCAUGUCCUGCUUCUCUUCUGUGCUGCUGGUAACUGUUUUUUCCAGUUGUACAAAAGGCAGAUGUUCCUGCCAUGAUGACUUUCCAGAGGUGUUUGUGUGGUAUGUAUGGGAAGUGGAGAAUCCUGUUGUGAUGCUCCAUAUGAUCUUGGGCUUUUAGUGUAUAGGUUGAUCUGGAAGAGCAGCUGAGAUCUUUGUUUCUGUCGUGCCCUGCAAGUGACUGGAUUAAUUUACAAGAAGAAUUCAGUGAGUGAACUUCCUGUUGUAAAGUCACAUUUUACUGGGUUCAGAUUAAGAGCAUCCACGGUCUGGGAUACUACUGGGGCAGGGUGGCAUAGUGACAUGUAUGAAAUGUGUCAUUUAACCUGGUCAUUACAUCUGUCAUAAAUGUCAGUAAAUCUGUCACUGACCAACGCCUGGUCAAGGUUUUCAUGUGGCUAAUGUUUAAAAUAAUAAUAGUAAGAAUUCACUUCCUAAUUUCAGUGUUUUGAAUAGCUCUUGCAUUGUAACCUUUCUGUACAGCUGAAGCUUUCCUUGUUCAAGUAGUUCUUGUGCAAUAAUUCCAUUGAAGGACACAGACUGCCUGGAUUCUAAACCUGAGAAGCACCAACAUAUUUUGAGUAUCCAGGUAGCUGCUGGAAUGCAGGAGAGGUUGGUUCUUGUGAAGUAGGGCCAUUCUAUAACUUCUUGCUAAG